rnacentral:rRNA from 1 species
GACGAACGCUGGCGGCGUGCUUAACACAUGCAAGUCGAGCGAGGAAAUUCUUUCGGGAAUUUCCUAGCGGCGGACGGGUGAGUAACACGUGGGCAACCUGCCUGAUAGAGGGGGAUAGCCUCCCGAAAGGGAGAUUAAUACCGCAUAAAGUCAAAUGAAGGCAUCUUCAAAUGACCAAAGGAGUAAUCCGCUAUCAGAUGGGCCCGCGGCGCAUUAGCUAGUUGGUGAGGUAACGGCUCACCAAGGCGACGAUGCGUAGCCGACCUGAGAGGGUGAUCGGCCACAUUGGGACUGAGACACGGCCCAGACUCCUACGGGAGGCAGCAGUGGGGAAUAUUGCACAAUGGGGGAAACCCUGAUGCAGCAACGCCGCGUGAGUGAUGAAGGCCUUCGGGUUGUAAAGCUCUGUCUUCAGGGACGAUAAUGACGGUACCUGAGGAGGAAGCCACGGCUAACUACGUG